GGAUAUUGUCCAUUAAGGCCCAGCCCGUUUAUAAACCCGGCCGAGUGACGUGUGCGGUGUGGCAAAGUCAGGUGUAAGUAACAAUGGUCGGUCGAACCUUCAUCAUUUGCAGGCUUGCAGCUAUGAUCCUCCUCGUAAUAUUUGGGGCUGUAAGAGCAGGAUUAACGCUGUCUUUAGAUGGGUUUCUUAGUGUAUUUAUGAUUUAAAGAAAAAGAAAAAUUGUAAUUACCACAAAAGAUGUCUCUUAAUCAGGCGAUGGAAGAUCCGUAUCUUAUAAGACACGUGUCACUAUUAAAAAAAUUGGAAGUCUUUCGUCUCUUCUCUUCCUUUCUAUCUCUUCCUCUCACAUUCUCUCUUUCCCUCCUCCUCAAUUUUCCUAUAAAGCUUCGAACUUUAAGCUCUCCUCCUCAUGGGUUCUCCUUGUUUCUCUCCCUAUAUUGGUUUAAAGCAUAUGGGCAUCUCCAUCUCCCCGAAAUCUUCGAACCCAGAGAAGAAGAGAAGAUGUAGUAAGGGUUUGGUGAUUCGUGCGUCUUUGUUUGGCGUUGGAGCACAUGAGGCUUACAGGUCAUGAGAGGAAGGAGAACAGUGAAGAUAUCAAUCUACGACAUUGUUGUCGGAGAUGUUAUACCUCUUAGAAUAGGUGACCGGCAUGACGGGUGAAAGCAAGAUUGUGAGUUCAUCAUGAUUCUGCUUGUUCAAUUAUGUGCGGUUAAACGGUCUUGCAACCUUCAUCGGUAUAGUGGGGCUCACGGUGGCUCUUGUUGUACUGGUUAGGAGGCUUUCAGCUUGUGAAACCAUGGGUUCAGCAACAACAAUUUGCAGUGAUAAAACUGGAACUUUAACUUUGAAUCGGGUCAGUAUCUAGUGAAACUCAUGACCAUACCCCUCUAAAAUGACAGAUGACUGUGGUUGAGACUUAUACUCGAAUGUUCUUGUGGUGUCUCUCUCUCUAUGUAUUUUGUAUUGCCACGAGAAGAUGAACAUGUCUAUGAGGUUCAUCGUUCUGAUCACCAUGUCACCAGGUUCGUUCCCUCCCUUACAGCUCACUCUUAAAUGAACAUGUCUUGAUUCUGGUUGGUGUUAGAUAUAUGGUUAGUGUUAGUGUUAAAUGUGGUUAGUGAACAUCGUUCUGAACAUCGUAGUGAAGCUUGUAAUCUUGUGUAUUCAUGUGUCACGGGAGCUUGUAGUCUUGUAAUCUUCUCUAUAUUAAGUUUUGGUAAAACCAAACAAUUUGAUCGCAAAUUUUCUUGUUCUCUCAUUUUCUAUAUAUAAAGUCAUAUUCUCUUCU